rnacentral:rRNA from 1 species
GAUGAACGCUGGCGGCGUGCCUAAUACAUGCAAGUCGAGCGAACAGACGAGGAGCUUGCUCCUCUGACGUUAGCGGCGGACGGGUGAGUAACACGUGGAUAACCUACCUAUAAGACUGGGAUAACUUCGGGAAACCGGAGCUAAUACCGGAUAAUAUAUUGAACCGCAUGGUUCAAUAGUGAAAGACGGUAUUGCUGUCACUUAUAGAUGGAUCCGCGCCGCAUUAGCUAGUUGGUAAGGUAACGGCUUACCAAGGCAACGAUGCGUAGCCGACCUGAGAGGGUGAUCGGCCACACUGGAACUGAGACACGGUCCAGACUCCUACGGGAGGCAGCAGUAGGGAAUCUUCCGCAAUGGGCGAAAGCCUGACGGAGCAACGCCGCGUGAGUGAUGAAGGUCUGCGGAUCGUAAAACUCUGUUAUUAGGGAAGAACAAAUGUGUAAGUAACUAUGCACGUCUUGACGGUACCUAAUCAGAAAGCCACGGCUAACUACGU